CAGAGGGUGCGAGCGUUGUUCGGAAUUACUGGGCGUAAAGCGCGCGCAGGCGGCCUUUUAAGUCUGACGGUGAAAUGCCGGGGCUCAACCCCGUGCCCGCCGGAGAUACUGGGAGGCUGGAGACGAGUAGAGGCAAGCGGAAUUCCGGGUGUAGCGGUGGAAUGCGUAGAGAUCCGGAAGAACACCGGAGGCGAAGGCGGCUUGCUGGGCUCAUGUCUGACGCUGAGGCGCGAAAGCGUGGGGAGCGAACAGGAUUAGAUACCCUGGUAGUCCACGCCGUAAACGAUGGGCACUAGACGCGGGUGGGAUCGACCCCUUCCGUGUCGCAGCUAACGCGAUAAGUGCCCCGCCUGGGGAGUACGGCCGCAAGGCUG
rnacentral:rRNA from 1 species